CACGUGAUAUCCUGUCUGAAGAUGGGGGGACCAUCCUCCAAGGCUAAAUACUCCUGACUGACCGAUAGUGAACCAGUACCGUGAGGGAAAGGCGAAAAGAACCCCUGUGAGGGGAGUGAAAUAGAACCUGAAACCGCAUACGUACAAGCAGUGGAAGCCGGAUUUAGUCCGGUGACUGCGUACCUUUUGUAUAAUGGGUCAGCGACUUAUAUUUAGUAGCAAGGUUAACCGAAUAGGGGAGCCGUAGCGAAAGCGAGUGUUAACUGCGCGUUUAGUUGCUAGGUAUAGACCCGAAACCGAGUGAUCUAGCCAUGGGCAGGUUGAAGGUUGAGUAACAUCAACUGGAGGACCGAACCCACUAACUUUGAAAAGUUAGGGGAUGACCUGUGGCUGGGGGUGAAAGGCCAAUCAAACCGGGAGAUAGCUGGUUCUCCCCGAAAUCUAUUUAGGUAGAGCCUCGCACGAACACCAUUGGGGGUAGAGCACUGUUAAGGCUAGGGGGUCAUCCCGACUUACCAACCCUUUGCAAACUCCGAAUACC
rnacentral:rRNA from 1 species